CCUGGCAUGGUCUUAGAGAUUUCCUUGGUGUUCUUCAUCUGCUUGGAGGUAGGACCAGGAGGCUGAACAGUAAUAUUUGUCUCAUUCUCCAGAUGAGCU